rnacentral:rRNA from 1 species
UUUGAAAUCUGGCCCUCGGGUCCGAGUUGUAAUUUGUAGAGGAUGCUUUUGGUGCAGUGCCUUCCGAGUUCCUUGGAACAGGACGCCUUAGAGGGUGAGAGCCCCGUACGGUUGGACACUAAGCCUCUGUAAAGCUCCUUCGACGAGUCGAGUAGUUUGGGAAUGCUGCUCUAAAUGGGAGGUAAAUUUCUUCUAAAGCUAAAUACCGGCCAGAGACCGAUAGCGCACAAGUAGAGUGAUCGAAAGAUGAAAAGUACUUUGAAAAGAGGGUUAAAUAGCACGUGAAAUUGUUGAAAGGGAAGCGUUUAUGACCAGACCUUUGUCUGGCGGAUCAUCCGGUGUUCUUCACCGGUGCACUUCGCCAGGCUCAGGCCAGCAUCGAUUUCUGUAGGGGGAUAAAAACCAUGGGAACGUAGCUCUCUCCGGGGAGUGUUAUAGCCCUAGGUACAAUACCUUUACGGGGAUCGAGGUUCGCGCUUCUGCAAGGAUGCUGGCGUAAUGGUCAUCAACGACCCGUCUUGAAACACGGACCAAGGAGUCGAACAUUUAUGCGAGUGUUUGGGUGUUAAACCCUCACGCGUAAUGAAAGUGAACGGAGGUGAGAGCCCGUACGGGUGCAUCAUCGACCGAUCCUGAUGUCUUCGGAUGGAUUUGAGUAAGAGCAUAACUGUUCGGACCCGAAAGAUGGUGAACUAUGCGUGGAUAGGGUGAAGCCAGAGGAAACUCUGGUGGAGGCUCGCAGCGGUUCUGACG